CCUGGCACGGGGACAGUCCCACCCUGGCUCAGGGGGACAUGGGGCGUGGCAUGGGGAGACACUGGAGGGGGACAUCAGAUGGGACAUGUUGGAUUGAGGGCAUUUCAUGGAGAUGAUGGAUGGGGCUUUGAGCAGGACAGUGGACAGCCCUGGAGGGGGAGGUGUUGCCAGAGGUGGAUGGAGAUGUUGGACAGGAGAGUUGGAUGGAGAGAUGGAGCCAUGGAGCAGGAAGAAGGCAGGGAGAAGUGCAGGUGAGCUGGAUGGAGGUGCUGGAUGGAGGUGCUGGAUGCAGAGUGGUGUUGGACACGCUCUGUAGAGACUUGGGGAUGCUGGAGGGGGAGAUGAGGGAUGGUGGGGCUGAACUGGAGAGGUCUGAUGGAGACACGGGGUGGGACACCUCCAGUGAAUGGAUGGACAGAGAUGUGGGUGAGGAGGCACCUUCUUUUUUCCCACCUUUCACCAUCUUUUUUCCACCUUUUUAGCAGAAAAUAACCAAGGAAGUUAUUUUCUCUUCCCCCUUAAGCAACACAUCCAAAUGAGUUCAGUUCUGUGUAUACUGGGACAUUUUUACAACCCCAAAAGCAGCUAUUGACAGCACAAACGCACUACAGAUAAAAACCCAUUUUCAACCCCAAAAA